rnacentral:tRNA from 1 species
GGCAGCAUGGCUCAGUGGAAAGAGCACGGGCUUUGGAGUCUGAGGCCAUGGGUUCGAAUCCCAGCUCGGCCA